UACGUAGGGGGCAAGCGUUGUCCGGAAUCAUUGGGCGUAAAGCGCGUGUAGGCGGUCCGGUAAGUCCGCUGUGAAAGUCGGGGGCUUAACCCUCGGAUGCCGGUGGAUACUGUCGGGCUUGAGUACGGAAGAGGCGAGUGGAAUUCCUGGUGUAGCGGUGAAAUGCGCAGAUAUCAGGAGGAACACCAAUUGCGAAGGCAGCUCGCUGGGACGUUACUGACGCUGAGACGCGAAAGCGUGGGGAGCGAACAGG
rnacentral:rRNA from 1 species